rnacentral:rRNA from 1 species
GACGAACGCUGGCGGCGUGCUUAACACAUGCAAGUCGAACGGAAAGGCCCUGCUUUUGUGGGGUGCUCGAGUGGCGAACGGGUGAGUAACACGUGAGUAACCUGCCUGUGACUUUGGGAUAACGUCAGGAAACUGGGGCUAAUACCGGUUAGGAGCUCCUGCUGCAUGGUGGGGGUUGGAAAGUUUCGGCGGUUGGGGAUGGACUCGCGGCUUAUCAGCAUGCUGGUGGGGUAGUGGCUUACCAAGGCGUUGACGGGUAGCCGGCCUGAGAGGGUGACCGGCCACAUUGGGACUGAGAUACCGCCAAGACUCCUACGGGAGGCAGCAGUGGGGAAUAUUGCACAAUGGGCGGAAGCCUGAUGCAGCAACGCCGCGUGCGGGAUGACGGCCUUCGGGUUGUAAACCGCUUUCGCCUGUGACGAAGCGUGAGUGACGGUAAUGGGUAAAGAAGCACCGGCUAACUACGUG